CCUACGGGUGGCUGCAGUGGGGAAUAUUGGACAAUGGGGGCAACCCUGAUCCAGCCAUGCCGCGUGUGUGAAGAAGGCCCUCGGGUUGUAAAGCACUUUCAGUGAGGAAGAACGCCUGGUGGUUAAUACCCAUCAGGAAAGACAUCACUCACAGAAGAAGCACCGGCUAACUCCGUGCCAGCAGCCGCGGUAAUACGGAGGGUGCGAGCGUUAAUCGGAAUUACUGGGCGUAAAGCGCGCGUAGGUGGCUUGAUAAGCCGGUUGUGAAAGCCCCGGGCUCAACCUGGGAACGGCAUCCGGAACUGGCAAGCUAGAGUGCAGGAGAGGAAGGUAGAAUUCCCGGUGUAGCGGUGAAAUGCGUAGAGAUCGGGAGGAAUACCAGUGGCGAAGGCGGCCUUCUGGACUGACACUGACACUGAGGUGCGAAAGCGUGGGUAGCAAACAGGAUUAGAUACCCUAGUAGUC
rnacentral:rRNA from 1 species